GACGAACCGUCCAAGCGUUAUUCGGAAUCACUGGGCUUACAGAGUUCGUAGGCGGUCUGGUAAGUUGGGUGUGAAAUCCCUCGGCUCAACCGAGGAACUGCGCUUGAAACUACCAGACUCGAGGGAGAUAGAGGAAAGCGGAACUGAUGGUGGAGCGGUGAAAUGCGUUGAUAUCAUCAGGAACACCGGUGGCGAAGGCGGCUUUCUGGGUCUUACCUGACGCUGAGGAACGAAAGCUAGGGGAGCGAACGGG
rnacentral:rRNA from 1 species